rnacentral:rRNA from 1 species
AGCGAACGCUGGCGGCAGGCUUAACACAUGCAAGUCGAACGGGCAUAGCAAUAUGUCAGUGGCAGACGGGUGAGUAACGCGUGGGAACGUACCUUUUGGUUCGGAACAACACAGGGAAACUUGUGCUAAUACCGGAUAAGCCCUUACGGGGAAAGAUUUAUCGCCGAAAGAUCGGCCCGCGUCUGAUUAGCUAGUUGGUAGGGUAAUGGCCUACCAAGGCGACGAUCAGUAGCUGGUCUGAGAGGAUGAUCAGCCACAUUGGGACUGAGACACGGCCCAAACUCCUACGGGAGGCAGCAGUGGGGAAUAUUGGGCAAUGGGCGAAAGCAUGAUCCAGCCAUGCCGCGUGAGUGAUGAAGGCCCUAGGGUUGUAAAGCUCUUUUGUGCGGGAAGAUAAUGACGGUACCGCAAGAAUAAGCCCCGGCUAACUUCGUG